rnacentral:lncRNA from 1 species
CCGUUGCAUCUGUGAAUGGCGUGACUACCUCCCGAGUUGUGUCGCAGGUGAGGAUGAGCUUCGUCUCCGGAAGUGGGUCGACGCUCAGGGGAAACGCAUUGAUAGCUAAGGUGGCGAAGGCCACGUCCGUCCCAUCGUCGAGCUCCAGCAGGGGGGUUGUGGUGGCGUCGGCAGAGACUGCUGCUGGUGGGUACGCCGCGGCUUUGGCCGAUCUUUCCCAGUCCAACAACGACCUGGAGAAGAUCGCCAAGGACAUGGAGGGUCUGGGUGAGCUCCUGAACAACGACACCUUGUAUAAUUUCUUGGUGUCUCCCAUCAUUGACGGUGACAAGAAGAAGAGCAUUAUCAAGACCGUUGCUGAGGAUGCAGAAUUCAGCGCUGUCACCCUCUCCUUCCUCAAC